rnacentral:rRNA from 1 species
UACGUAGGGGGCUAGCGUUGUCCGGAAUCAUUGGGCGUAAAGAGCUCGUAGGCGGCUUGUUGCGUCAGCUGUGAAAACCCGCAGCUCAACUGUGGGCUUGCAGCUGAUACGGGCAGGCUUGAGUUCGGUAGGGGAGACUGGAAUUCCUGGUGUAGCGGUGAAAUGCGCAGAUAUCAGGAGGAACACCGGUGGCGAAGGCGGAUCUCUGGGCCUUACCUGACGCUGGAGGCGCGAAAGCUAGGGGAGCGAACAGG